rnacentral:rRNA from 1 species
UACGAAGGGGGCUAGCGUUGUUCGGAUUUACUGGGCGUAAAGCGCACGUAGGCGGAUCGAUCAGUCAGGGGUGAAAUCCCAGAGCUCAACUCUGGAACUGCCUUUGAUACUGUCGAUCUGGAGUAUGGAAGAGGUGAGUGGAAUUCCGAGUGUAGAGGUGAAAUUCGUAGAUAUUCGGAGGAACACCAGUGGCGAAGGCGGCUCACUGGCCCGGUACUGACGCUGAGGCGCGAAAGCGUGGGGAUCAAACAGG